AGGUACAGAUCGACACAACAUAGUGGAAAUGGCCAACCCUUCAGUGAACUAUCCUUUAACUUCUCGAAAGCCAUUAAAAAUGUUCACCAACGCUGAUAUCGUCUGGUCAAGUGAUGAAAAGACGAAGACUAAACGAGAUCUUUGGCUAAGUAUGGCUUCCUCUGGCUACUACAGCAGCGUGUCGCAUUAUAAGACUUUGAAACAACAACUUCAGUAAUCGUAACGAGAAGGGACGACUUUUCGUCCGACAAGGCAAAAAGUAAACACAAGAACCUGUAGUGCUAUAAAGAAUGUUUUUACCUCUCUCUGAAUUGCGCAACUCACCACCGUCGUCUUGCAGGGUAUUGAAUUCAAUUAAAAUUAAGUUUAUAUGUAUGUUUAGAAAAAAAUUUUAGAAACUGUAUACCGCGUAAGCCAGCCAUUUUACAUGAAACUUUUCGUUAUUGAGAUAUUGUUUUAAAUAUAUAAGAAGACGACGUUCUUGGCAGACUAUAAUUGUUUAAGGUAAUUCCGCAGUUUUGCAUUGCUCACUUUUACUGCGCACAUCUUAUAACUUAUAUUUUCAUCCAUUAUACGUACCGUUUAAAAAAAUAUCAUUUUAUGACAAUUCUAUGUUACUUCAAAACAUCUUUGGUUACAUUCGUGCAGAGAAUUACGUUAAAAUCAUUUUUUUCAAAAAAGGCAUACAAAAGUGUAGCUAGGGUUCCCUGUGUCUGUAGUAUAUUUAUUUACUUGUAUUUCACGUUUUAAUGCCACAAUGGCCUAAAAAGAUCGGUGACCCCCGUUUUUUAACUGAUAAUUUAUUUCUUUAAUGUAUUUUACAUUUUCUUAUCCGAAAUUAAAAGAAAAAUCAUUUCUGGAUCUUGAAAAAAAAUGCUUUAUCAAUGCAUGUUCUGAAAGAAAGAUAUGUAAAGAAAUGUGGAAAAGACAUUUGUGGAUCAGAAUUGUACACGUUAGUAGUUUCAUUUUGCUCAAAACACAAUAUUUUUUCAAAAUAAUUACAAGACAGGUUUACUAAAGGAAAAUCCGUGCUAAAAACGUCAAUAAAUAUCGGGCUGUUGUGAGUUUGCUGUUACUCGUAAUGAGCGUCAAGAUGGCGCCAUAUUGCGGUAAAGGUGGUAUAUUGUGAUUGUCAUAUCUUCUUAACGAGUUCGGUGACACCGACUUUUUUGUGUGAUUUUAUUUUAAGUAUAUCAUAAACUCCAGGCCUGGGAAGUUUCAGCACAUUCUCAUUUCGGGAACAAUUACUGCGGGAUUACCUUAAACGAAAAAUGUAUUCUGAUUAGACAUCUUCAAGACAGCAUAUUUUGCCUUUUAUCCAGAACAUUUUGCCAUUUUUCGCUUGAAAUCUACACGAUUUCUCAGCGUUUGAUGUGUUUUACCUUGCUUAUGACGUCACACUUCAUUUAUUCUAAAAUUUCUCAAAACCGGAACAUUAGCUCUUCAAUUAUCAAAAUUGUGCUUUCUAACUUAAUAAGCCCAUGCAGAUCAGUUGAAAAUAAUUCCGAUCUCCGAUACGAAUUUGCUAUAUUAAAUUUGCGUCCGGACAUUUAAUUUACACUGCUUUUGUACGCUGGUUAUAUUCAGUAAAUUUUCUCCCAGUACUUAUAGGCAAACAAUUUUGUGUAACAUGUCCGCUCAUGACAUUAUGAGCACGCACGAGAGAGAGAAUAUUCAUUAAAUUUGACCAAUAUGUUUUUUCAAAUUACUUGUUAAUGAGAGAAGCUUUAAUUUUCUUUAUAGUUCUUCAGACCGCUGCCUUGCUUUAUAUAUUAAUUACUACUUUAGCUUAGUUUGAUUUGAAAAAUUCAAUGUAGAUUUAGUGGAUCGCAUGUUCUGUAAUGUUAGAAAGACCAUACUAUAGACAAAAAUCAUAAUAAUUGAAUAUCAAUUUAAUUAUUGGCCAUGGAAACGAUUCAAGUUUGAAUAAAAACUAGUUAGAGAACGAUCAUCGUUGCACCAAUGUC